rnacentral:tRNA from 1 species
UAGAUUAAAGUCCGCUGGUUUGGGCUUUAAGUUGUUAACUAAAUAUUUACGGGAUCGAGGCCCGUUGAUCUAG